GAUGAACGCUAGCGGCAGGCUUAAUACAUGCAAGUCGAGGGGCAGCAUGAUUGUAGCAAUACAAUUGAUGGCGACCGGCAAACGGGUGCGGAACACGUACACAACCUUCCAACAAGUGGGGGAUAGCCCAGAGAAAUUUGGAUUAAUACCCCGUAACAUAGCGAUGUGGCAUCACAUUGCUAUUAUAGAUUUUUCGCUUGUUGAUGGGUGUGCGGCUGAUUAGAUGGUUGGCGGGGUAACAGCCCACCAAGUCUACGAUCAGUAGCUGAUGUGAGAGCAUGAUCAGCCACACGGGCACUGAGACACGGGCCCGACUCCUACGGGAGGCAGCAGUAAGGAAUAUUGGAAAAUGGACGCAAGUCUGAUCCAGCCAUGCCGCGUGAAGGAUUAAGGUCCUCUGGAUUGUAAACUUCUUUUAUAAGGGACGAAAAAAGGCUUUUCUAAGUCGUCUGACGGUACCUUAUGAAUAAGCACCGGCUAACUCCGUGCCAGCAGCCGCAGUAACAC
rnacentral:rRNA from 1 species